rnacentral:rRNA from 1 species
UACGUAGGGUGCAAGCGUUGUCCGGAAUUAUUGGGCGUAAAGAGCUCGUAGGUGGCGGGUCACGUCGGGUGUGAAAGCCCGGGGCUUAACCCCGGGUCUGCAUUCGAUACAGGCUUGCUAGGGUCCGGCAGGGGAGACUGGAAUUCCUGGUGUAGCGGUGAAAUGCGCAGAUAUCAGGAGGAACACCGGUGGCGAAGGCGGGUCUCUGGGCCGGUACCGACGCUGAGGAGCGAAAGCGUGGGGAGCGAACAGG